rnacentral:pre_miRNA from 1 species
AAGUUAAGAAUUGUUAACUUUGAUGAUGUGGCAUAUAUGUGGAUUUCCAUGUGGCAAUUAAUUGAUUUUUUACAAUUUUAAAAAAUUGUAAAAAUUCUUUCUAAAAAAUAAAAAAAAUAGUUAAAAGAUUAUCAAAGAUAUAAUUUUUUUAAUAUUUUAAAGUUUUUAAAAAAUAACUAAUUGCUAAUGCGACAAGCCACGUGUGUGUCAUGUCAGCAAAGUUAACAAAAAUUAACUUC